UACGUAGGUGGCAAGCGUUGUCCGGAUUUACUGGGCGUAAAGAGCGCGCAGGCGGUCGGGUAAGUCGAAUGUGAAAGCCCCUGGCUCAACUGGGGAGGGUCAUUCGAUACUGCUCGACUCGAAGGCAGGAGAGGGAAGCGGAAUUCCCGGUGUAGUGGUGAGAUGCGUAGAUAUCGGGAGGAACACCAGUGGCGAAGGCGGCUUUCUGGCCUGUUCUUGACGCUGAGGCGCGAAAGCUAGGGGAGCAAAC
rnacentral:rRNA from 1 species